AUGAAACCACUUCACUUCCUCUUUACCUGUUGUGUCCCGAGUCUGGACUUUACCUAUAAUCCCUCGCUCCUCCCUCUCUCCUCCCUCUCUCUCUCUCCCUCUCUCUCCCCCUCUCUCUCUCCCUCUCCCUUCCUCUCCCUCGAUCUCUCCUUCUCCCUCCUCCCUCUCUCUCCCUCUCCCCUCCUCUCCCUCACUCUCUCCCUAAUCCCUCCUCCCUCUCUCUCCCUUCCUCUCCUCCCUUGCUCUCUCCCUUUUCCCUCGCUCUCUCCCUCUCUCCCUUCCUCUUCCUCGCUCUCUCUCUCUCUCUCCUCCCUUGCUCUCUCCCUUCUCCCUCCCUCUCUUUCCUUCUCCCUUCCUCUCUCUCUCCUCUCCCUCCUCCCUCUCUCCCACUCUCUCCCCCUCUCCCUCCUCCCUCCCCCUCUCCCUCCUUCCUCCUCCCUCUCCCUCUCUCUCCCUCUCCCUCCCUCUCCCUCCUCCCUCUCUCUCCCUUCCUCUCCCUCGCUCUCUCCCUCCUCCCUCCCUCUCUCUCUCUCUCACUCUACCCCUCUCCCUCCCUCUCCUAUCCUCUCCCAUCCUCUCCCUCUUUCUCACCCUCUCCCUUCCUCUCUCUCUCCCCUCUCCCUCCUCCCUCUCUCUCUCCCCCUCUCCCUCGCCCUCCCCCUCUUUCCUUCUCCCUUCCUCUCUCUCUCCUCUCCCUCCUCCCUCUCUCUCUCUCCCACUCUCUCCCCCUCUCCCUCCUCCCUCCCCCUCUCCCUCUCUCUCCCUCUCCCUCCCUCUCCCUCCUCCCUCUCUCUCCCUUCCUCUCCCUCGCUCUCUCCUUCCUCCCUCCCUCUCUCUCUCUCUCACUCUACCCCGCUCCCUCCCUCUCCUAUCCUCUCCCAUCCUCUCCCUCUUUCUCACCCUCUCCCUUCCUCUCUCUCUCUCCCAUCUCCCUCCUCCCUCUCUCUCACCCCCUCUCCCUCGCCCUCCCCCUCUCCCCCUCUCCCUCCCUUCUCCCUCCCUCUCUUUCCUUCUCCCUUCCUCUCUCUCUCCUCUCCCUCCUCCCUCCCUCUCUUUCCUUCUCCCUUCCUCUCUCUCUCCUCUCCCUCCUCCCUCUCUCUCUUUCUCCCACUCUCUCCCCCUCUCCCUCCUCCCUCCCCCUCUCCCUCCUUCCUCCUCCCUCUCCCUCUCUCUCCCUCUCCCUCCCUCUCCCUCCUCCCUCUCGCUCCCUUCCUCUCCCUCGCCCUCCCCCUCUCCCCCUCUCCCUCCCUUCUCCCUCCCUCUCUUUCCUUCUCCCUUCCUCUCUCUCUCCUCUCCCUCCUCCCUCCCUCUCUUUCCUUCUCCCUUCCUCUCUCUCUCCUCUCCCUCCUCCCU
ensembl:lncRNA